rnacentral:rRNA from 1 species
GAUGAACGCUGGCGGCGUGCUUAACACAUGCAAGUCGAACGGAGACCACGGAGCUUGCUUUCUGUGAUUAGUGGCGAACGGGUGCGUAACACGUGAGCAACCUGCCCCUGUCCCUGUGAUAUGCGCUGGAAACGGCGUCGAUUAUUGGAUAUGUGACUUGUACCCAUGGUCUGCGUCUGUAAAGGAUUUCGGUUGUGUAUGGGCUCGCUGCCUAUGCGCUUGAUUGUGAAGUAAUUGCUCACCAAGGGCUCGACGGGUACGCGACCUGAGAGGGGUACCGGGCAACCGGGGACUGAGACACGGCACAGAGUAGUACGGGAGGCAGCAGUGGGGAAUAUUGCACAAUGGAGCCAAGUCGGAUGCAGCAACGCCGCGUGAGGGAUGGCGGCCUGCUUGUUGAAAACAUCUUUGUGCGGGAAAGAAGCGAUAGUGACGGUACCUGAAGAAAAAGCGCCGGCUAACUACGUG